rnacentral:rRNA from 1 species
GAUGAACGCUGGCGGCGUGCUUAACACAUGCAAGUCGAACGGUGAAGGCGGAGCUUGCUCUGCUGGAUCAGUGGCGAACGGGUGAGUAACACGUGAGCAAUCUGCCCCUGACUCUGGGAUAAGCGCUGGAAACGGCGUCUAAUACUGGAUACGAGCUGCGAAGGCAUCUUCAGCAGCUGGAAAGAAUUUCGGUCAGGGAUGAGCUCGCGGCCUAUCAGCUUGUUGGUGAGGUAAUGGCUCACCAAGGCGUCGACGGGUAGCCGGCCUGAGAGGGUGACCGGCCACACUGGGACUGAGACACGGCCCAGACUCCUACGGGAGGCAGCAGUGGGGAAUAUUGCACAAUGGGCGAAAGCCUGAUGCAGCAACGCCGCGUGAGGGACGACGGCCUUCGGGUUGUAAACCUCUUUUAGCAGGGAAGAAGCGAAAGUGACGGUACCUGCAGAGAAAGCGCCGGCUAACUACGUG